rnacentral:rRNA from 1 species
UACAGAGGUCUCAAGCGUUGUUCGGAUUCAUUGGGCGUAAAGGGUGCGUAGGCGGCGCGGUAAGUCGGGUGUGAAAUCUCGGGGCUUAACUCCGAAACUGCAUUCGAUACUGCCGUGCUUGAGGACUGGAGAGGAGACUGGAAUUUACGGUGUAGCAGUGAAAUGCGUAGAUAUCGUAAGGAAGACCAGUGGCGAAGGCGAGUCUCUGGACAGUUACUGACGCUGAGGCACGAAGGCCAGGGGAGCAAACGGG